UACGUAGGGCGCAAGCGUUGUCCGGAAUUAUUGGGCGUAAAGAGCUCGUAGGCGGCUUGUCACGUCGGGUGUGAAAGCCCGGGGCUUAACCCCGGGUCUGCAUUCGAUACGGGCUGGCUAGAGUGUGGUAGGGGAGAUCGGAAUUCCUGGUGUAGCGGUGAAAUGCGCAGAUAUCAGGAGGAACACCGGUGGCGAAGGCGGAUCUCUGGGCUGUAACUGACGCUGAGGAGCGAAAGCAUGGGGAGCGAACAGG
rnacentral:rRNA from 1 species